UUUCUGGGUUCCAAAUGCAUGAAUCCGUGCGACUUCGCCUGGACUUGCUGAGAUUUUAAAUCCAGCUUUGUGUCUAGUUUCACGUCCGUGAAAGCUUUCCGACGGAAGCGAAGCGAAUUCGAACUCCGAGCUCAGCUGAUCCAGAUCUCUGAUCUGUGAUUGUGAGUUCCUCUUUGUGCUUCCUGGACAUCUUCGGCUCACCGUUCUGCUCGUUCCAGUGGGUUUUUCGACCACUUAGGACGCUCCCACUAAGAUCUGUGCUGGAUAUACGAUACCCCUCCGGCGGUCCUGUCCGAUUCGUGUCUUUCUACGGAUUUCGAUAUGUGAAGGGCCGUCUGCUUAUCAGGAUAAAUCGGGUGCGGAAAGGCUUCCUUUGGAGUUCCUGGUUUCCGAUUUGAGUUGCAUUUGGAUCUGCCGAAGUCAAAUCGACUUGUUUGUCGAAUGCGCAAGUGGUUACUUUUGGCGUAGAAGGCUCGAUCUUUUUCAGAAGGUGCGCAGUUUCGACGAUAAAAUUCGACCUUUGGGGAUGGAAACUGUAUUUGUGGUUGGACCGCAUCGGAGUAAAUAUCACAGCAGAGGCAAAUCACAGCCUUCGAGAGACUUUGGAGGGUUUAGCUGCCGCACAUUUGAGUCUGCUGCUAGAGUUAUGCCCUCAUCCUGCUCUCGAUUGAGCUAUUGCUAUGGCCACGUUGAGCCAAAAUCUCCCAGCUAUUACACGGACCAACAGCAAAAACAAAGAAGGAAGAGGAAAACCAUUUCACUGAACACCCCGCCUUCUCCAAAAGGAGACGCCUUUAGUGAAAAGACAUUUUACUCUGAACGGUGGGCAGGUCCUGCCUACUCAAAUUCACCUCCUCCCAGUUCUUUACCUAUCCCUACAUUUUCCCUUCGCCAAAAGCGUAGUGUUUCUCUAGAACUUCAAAUUCCGAAAUCUGAUGUUGUGCUUCACUCUCUCUCGAAAUCUGCACCAUCUUCUCCAACUAGAGAGUCCCCUUCAUCUGCCGGUAACUUCCUAUUUAACACUACCAUUGCUACGGAGAAUUUGAGACGGAUUCUCCAGUUGGAUAUUGCAGACGGUUGAGGGAGUUCCUCUUUAAGCACGUUCGUUAGAGUACUUAUGUAGGUAGUUGCUUGAAAAUACGUGUGUUUUGUUUAAAAGGUAAAGUCUUAGUAAAAGCAAUCAGGUAGAAGAAGUAAGGCCCUACUUUUCAUGAUAACAUCGAAUGGUGUAAUUUGAGGAAGCUGGUUAGUGACAAUAGUUUAGUUGUUGUUCAUUGUUCAAAGUCCUUAUGUGUUGAUUACCAACAAUGUUUAUUAUGCAUAAGUAGAAGCCAUCUUGGAAUAAACUGCUGCAUCAUCAGCUGAGCUUAGUCAAGGAUGUGACUUUUGUUCAAAUGUUGUAGAGCAAGAUCUCUUGGCAACUGGUCCUAUGAAUUUAUAAGCAUCUCCAUCUCUUCCUUUUGCUUUGUCUGUUUGUUUGUGAUAGUUCCUCCUUUCUUCAUAGCUAUCAGUCCUUUAACUAAGUUUGAUCUUUAGAAGUCAAUUAGAUUUAACCUUGCCCUUUCUUCCUGUAUAUUUUUUGUAGGAAGAAGUGUGAGGUGUAAUGGACUUCAUAAAUCUCUCUUUGUUUGUCUAUCUUAGCGCAUAUAGGUUGUAGUUGUUCCCUGUUCUCUCUAGUUCGUCGCAUUUGGGUGUGCCAUCUUCAGUUCCUACAUCUUAGUAAGCUAUGUUUUCCAGUCACUAGAUGAUUAAGCUGUGGCAGUAUGCUUAUUCCUCAACCAGGCCAAGGGCUGUGCCUGUCAGAGAUCGACACGGAAGCCCUGUAAUUGGUGAUAGUGGAUGAAGAAAUGUUUCUGUUAAUGGUAUUUGCUUUUGAAGUCGAUAGUUUGUUGUGGAUAAUGCUUCUGAGCUUGGCUUAAUUAACUUUCGGAAGCACUUGGGUUUUAAACAAAUGCUUGUAUAGAACUUAGUUAAUAUUGCCAUCACUUGUAUUUGCAGGUCUUGUAGUGUAUAAUUUGAAUAUUACUAACAGUGCAAUGUUGAAUAGCUUGAUCAAGUUAGAUUUA